AGAGUUUGAUCCUGGCUCAGAAUCAACGCUGGCGGCGUGCCUCAGACAUGCAAGUCGAACGAUUAAACUUCUCUUCGGAGAAGAUAUAAAGUGGCGCACGGGUGAGUAACACGUAGGUAAUGUACCUUUGGGUGGGGAAUAACUUAGGGAAACUUAAGCUAAUACCGCAUAAUGCAGCGGCUCCUUCGGGAGACAGUUGUUAAAGCGUUUACGCGCCUAAAGAGCAGCCUGCGGCAGAUUAGCUAGUUGGUAAGGUAAUGGCUUACCAAGGCUACGAUCUGUAUCCGACCUGAGAGGGUGGUCGGACACACUGACACUGAAUAACGGGUCAGACUCCUACGGGAGGCAGCAGUCGGGAAUUUUGGGCAAUGGGCGAAAGCCUGACCCAGCAACGCCGCGUGGAGGAUGAAGUCUUUCGGGAUGUAAACUUCGUAAGAAUAGGAAGAAUAAAUGACGGUACUAUUUGUAAGGUCCGGCUAACUACGUGCCAGCAGCCGCGGUAAUACGUAGGGACCAAGCGUUGUUCGGAUUUACUGGGCGUAAAGGGCGCGUAGGCGGCGUGUCAAGUCAAUUGUGAAAUCUCCGAGCUUAACUCGGAACGGUCAAUUGAUACUGAUGUGCUAGAGUGCAGAAGGGGCAAUCGGAAUUCUUGGUGUAGCGGUGAAAUGCGUAGAUAUCAAGAGGAACACCUGAGGUGAAGACGGGUUGCUGGGCUGACACUGACGCUGAGGCGCGAAAGCUAGGGUAGCAAACGGGAUUAGAUACCCCUGUAGUCC
rnacentral:rRNA from 1 species